UACGUAGGGUGCAAGCGUUAAUCGGAAUUACUGGGCGUAAAGCGUGCGCAGGCGGUUAUGUAAGACAGGUGUGAAAUCCCCGGGCUUAACCUGGGAACUGCAUUUGUGACUGCAUAGCUAGAGUACGGUAGAGGGGGAUGGAAUUCCGCGUGUAGCAGUGAAAUGCGUAGAUAUGCGGAGGAACACCGAUGGCGAAGGCAAUCCCCUGGACCUGUACUGACGCUCAUGCACGAAAGACGUGGGGGAGCAAACGAGGAU
rnacentral:rRNA from 1 species